rnacentral:rRNA from 1 species
AUACGGAGGGUGCAAGCGUUAAUCGGAAUUACUGGGCGUAAAGCGCUCGUAGGCGGUUUGUUAAGUCGGAUGUGAAAGCCCCGGGCUCAACCUGGGAACUGCAUUCGAUACUGGCAAGCUAGAGUAUAGUAGAGGCAAGUGGAAUUCCGGGUGUAGCGGUGAAAUGCGUAGAUAUCCGGAGGAACAUCAGUGGCGAAGGCGACUUGCUGGACUAAUACUGACGCUGAGGAGCGAAAGCGUGGGGAGCAAACAGGAUUAGAAACCCGAGUAGUCC